rnacentral:rRNA from 1 species
GAUGAACGCUGGCGGCGUGCCUAAUACAUGCAAGUCGAGCGAACAGAUAAGGAGCUUGCUCCUUUGACGUUAGCGGCGGACGGGUGAGUAACACGUGGGUAACCUACCUAUAAGACUGGAAUAACUCCGGGAAACCGGGGCUAAUGCCGGAUAACAUUUAGAACCGCAUGGUUCUAAAGUGAAAGAUGGUUUUGCUAUCACUUAUAGAUGGACCCGCGCCGCAUUAGCUAGUUGGUAAGGUAACGGCUUACCAAGGCAACGAUACGUAGCCGACCUGAGAGGGUGAUCGGCCACACUGGAACUGAGACACGGUCCAGACUCCUACGGGAGGCAGCAGUAGGGAAUCUUCCGCAAUGGGCGAAAGCCUGACGGAGCAACGCCGCGUGAGUGAUGAAGGUCUUCGGAUCGUAAAACUCUGUUAUUAGGGAAGAACAAAUGUGUAAGUAACUAUGCACGCCUUGACGGUACCUAAUCAGAAAGCCACGGCUAACUACGUG